rnacentral:rRNA from 1 species
UACGUAGGGUGCGAGCGUUGUCCGGAAUUAUUGGGCGUAAAGGGCUCGUAGGCGGUUUGUCGCGUCGGGAGUGAAAACCUUGAGCUUAACUCAGGGCUUGCUUUCGAUACGGGCAGACUAGAGGUAUGCAGGGGAGAACGGAAUUCCUGGUGUAGCGGUGAAAUGCGCAGAUAUCAGGAGGAACACCGGUGGCGAAGGCGGUUCUCUGGGCAUGAUCUGACGCUGAGGAGCGAAAGCGUGGGGAGCGAACAGG